rnacentral:rRNA from 1 species
AUGAACGCUAGCUACAGGCUUAACACAUGCAAGUCGAGGGGCAGCAUGGUCUUAGCUUGCUAAGGCCGAUGGCGACCGGCGCACGGGUGAGUAACACGUAUCCAACCUGCCGUCUACUCUUGGACAGCCUUCUGAAAGGAAGAUUAAUACAAGAUGGCAUCAUGAGUCCACAUGUUCACAUGAUUAAAGGUAUUCCGGUAGACGAUGGGGAUGCGUUCCAUUAGAUAGUAGGCGGGGUAACGGCCCACCUAGUCUUCGAUGGAUAGGGGUUCUGAGAGGAAGGUCCCCCACAUUGGAACUGAGACACGGUCCAAACUCCUACGGGAGGCAGCAGUGAGGAAUAUUGGUCAAUGGGCGAGAGCCUGAACCAGCCAAGUAGCGUGAAGGAUGACUGCCCUAUGGGUUGUAAACUUCUUUUAUAAAGGAAUAAAGUCGGGUAUGCAUACCCGUUUGCAUGUACUUUAUGAAUAAGGAUCGGCUAACUCCGUGCCAGCAGCCGCGGUAAUACGGAGGAUCCGAGCGUUAUCCGGAUUUAUUGGGUUUAAAGGGAGCGUAGAUGGAUGUUUAAGUCAGUUGUGAAAGUUUGCGGCUCAACCGUAAAAUUGCAGUUGAUACUGGAUAUCUUGAGUGCAGUUGAGGCAGGCGGAAUUCGUGGUGUAGCGGUGAAAUGCUUAGAUAUCACGAAGAACUCCGAUUGCGAAGGCAGCCUGCUAAGCUGCAACUGACAUUGAGGCUCGAAAGUGUGGGUAUCAAACAGGAUUAGAUACCCUGGUAGUCCACACGGUAAACGAUGAAUACUCGCUGUUUGCGAUAUACUGCAAGCGGCCAAGCGAAAGCGUUAAGUAUUCCACCUGGGGAGUACGCCGGCAACGGUGAAACUCAAAGGAAUUGACGGGGGCCCGCACAAGCGGAGGAACAUGUGGUUUAAUUCGAUGAUACGCGAGGAACCUUACCCGGGCUUAAAUUGCAGAUGAAUUACGGUGAAAGCCGUAAGCCGCAAGGCAUCUGUGAAGGUGCUGCAUGGUUGUCGUCAGCUCGUGCCGUGAGGUGUCGGCUUAAGUGCCAUAACGAGCGCAACCCUUAUCACUAGUUACUAACAGGUUAAGCUGAGGACUCUGGUGAGACUGCCAGCGUAAGCUGUGAGGAAGGUGGGGAUGACGUCAAAUCAGCACGGCCCUUACGUCCGGGGCUACACACGUGUUACAAUGGGGGGUACAGAGGGCCGCUACCACGCGAGUGGAUGCCAAUCCCAAAAACCUCUCUCAGUUCGGACUGGAGUCUGCAACCCGACUCCACGAAGCUGGAUUCGCUAGUAAUCGCGCAUCAGCCACGGCGCGGUGAAUACGUUCCCGGGCCUUGUACACACCGCCCGUCAAGCCAUGGGAGCCGGGGGUACCUGAAGUGCGUAACCGCGAGGAGCGCCCUAGGGUAAAACUGGUGACUGGGGCU